rnacentral:rRNA from 1 species
GACGAACGCUGGCGGCGUGCUUAACACAUGCAAGUCGAACGGAAAGGCCCUGCUUUUGUGGGGUGCUCGAGUGGCGAACGGGUGAGUAACACGUGAGUAACCUGCCCUUGACUUUGGGAUAACUUCAGGAAACUGGGGCUAAUACCGGAUAGGAGCUCCUGCUGCAUGGUGGGGGUUGGAAAGUUUCGGCGGUUUGGGAUGGACUCGCGGCUUAUCAGCUUGUUGGUGGGGUAGUGGCUUACCAAGGCUUUGACGGGUAGCCGGCCUGAGAGGGUGACCGGCCACAUUGGGACUGAGAUACGGCGCAGACUGCUACGGGAGGCAGCAGUGGGGAAUAUUGCACAAUGGGCGGAAGCCUGAUGCAGCAACGCCGCGUGCGGGAUGACGGCCUUCGGGUUGUAAACCGCUUUCGCCGGUGACGAAGCGUGAGUGACGGUAAUGGGUAAAGAAGCACCGGCUAACUACGUG